rnacentral:tRNA from 1 species
GCUCGGUUAGUUCAGCGGAAGAACGCCUGUUUUACACGCAGGAUGCCGUGGGUUCAACUCCUACACCGAGUACCA